AACAAGAUCAGAGCAGCAUUUGAGAAUUUCACAGUGGGCCAGAAGGCACCCUGGAAGAGCAAGUUCUAGAAGAGUGUGAAGUUGCCCAGGCCCAGUGAUAGCAAAUGCCACCAAUGACCUCUGGUCAAAUAAAUAUCUUUUGAAAUUAGACAACCCUGGUGAAAAUCAAGGAGAAGCAAAAUCCAGAGUUUUCUAAAGUUGUCUCUACAGGUGUCGGGGUAGGGACUAAUCUCUAUUAGGCACAUUUAUCAAGUUAUCUCCAGGUUUCUGGGUUAUGAUGUGACCCACAGAACAUCCAAAUUCAGAAAAUAAUGACAUGCCAGGGUGAGAAUCCUUUUAACCCAAUACUUCUCUUUCAACACUCAGGACCACUAAAUCGCUAGCCUAUAUUGUUGCUGUAUAUAGUAUUUACAAAUGUGAAUGACAUACACGUAUGGUUAUUCACUACAGCUUUAUUUGUAAUGGCCAAGAUUGAAACAACCCAAGUAGGGACCAUCAGUAGGGAAUUGGUUAAAUAAAUUAUGGUAUAUCCACAUAGUGAGGGACUACAUAGCUAUGAAAAAAGAACGAGAAUGUGCUCUACGUCUAUUAGGAAAGUAUAUUGUUAAGUAAAGAAAAGCAAGAUAUCAAACCAUGCAUACAAUAUGCUAUCUUUGGGUAAAAAUAAUUAUCUAUAUUCACGGUUUCCUGUACCGCCAUAAAGUCUGGAAUGAUACAUAAGAAACUAGUGAACAGUGGCUGGGUAGAGAGAAGUCAGGGAAUAGGGACAAGGCAAGGGGGGCUGUUUUUACUGAAUAAUUUGUUUUACUUUUGGUUUUUCAACCAGGUAAACUACUGCUAUUCAGAAAAUUAGAUACAGUUUUUCAACAUAAGGAAAAAGUCCAUCAUUGGUAUUGCUAUACCAACAAGCAUGCUGGGCAGCUGGAGAGAACCACAGGGAGGUCUUGGAGCAUGGCGGAAUGGCGAAUGGGACGGAGUGGGGAAGGGAGGAAGGCUGGGUGAGGCAGAAGCUGCAGGGGCCCACGGAAGAGAGCGCCUCUAGCCACAGAGUGACCAGAAGCGCAGGAGUCCGUAAAAUUUCGGCAAUUGAUUACACUUAAUUGAAACCUUGGUUUGGGCCUUCUUCUAGAACCUAGCAGAUUCCAUGAAUGUGAGAAAUGGCCAAGAUUCAGUUUUUGCUUCAGCCCACCACCUCCUUAAAGCCUUUGCAGGUCCCUCUAGCCUGUGGUGACUCCUCAUUUUCUGAAUACUUUUUCUUUAUACUACUCACUGGGAAGUCCACUGUUCUGCCUGAAUUGUUUGGUAUUUGUUACUUAACCAUUCAUUGUGAACUCCUUAGAAAGCUGGGGCUGCAGCUUAAUCAGGGCUGUGUUCCCAGUGUCUGCCCCUCCCGCAUGCUUAAUAAAUGUUUGCUGAAUGGAUUCUGUCAUCUAUCCAACUAGACUUAAGUUUCUUGAAGACAGAGUCCAUCUCUAUACCUUCAGCAGUGCUCAGGGUCCUGGGGGCCACUGUCCACAAACAACGACCUGGAGCAGAGCUCCUGGGAGCCUACCUUAAAGCUUAGUUCGCCCUUUUUGUCCCCCUCUUAAAAGCAAAAGUUCGGAAUGCAGACCAAAAGAAGAAAACUGCUUCGGAAAACUCCAAGACACGUCAAUAUGCAUGCUAUUGACCGAGGAAGUCAAUUCACACCGUUCAUCUCAAGACUUCAGGAUGUUGCCCCAAGGCAGAUCUAACAAGUGGUGCAUUAGACAUCCUCCUGAGCCUCCUUUCUCAGCUGGCUCUUGACAGAGUUGCCCUAGACUCUCCAAGGGCUCUCUAGCCUUGACAAACUCGAGGAGCAAGCACUCACUCCUGAGCUGGGAAGACUUAACGGGACAAAUGCCCUACUAUUUUAUAAGACUUCUCUUGCUCUGAAAACCUGUCCAGGUGGAAUGGCCACAAGCAAGACUCAUGCUAGAGUUUUCCUCCUCUCACUCCUGCAUGAGGGGAAAAAAAGCAGAAGCUGUGUGUGUAAAAUGUACUUGUUCACCUUGGAUGAUAAUACUCUUCAAAGAGAGCCAUGAAAAUAGCUCACGUUAUUAGAAACACCAUGAAAAAGUAUAAUUAGUCACUUAAACAGUUAUCCAACUUAUUUCUCACUAUAAAGUUUAUAGAUUAAUUUUCAAAUUAGAAAAAAAUUCAAAAAUUAGAAGUAGACUUUUCAGCUUGCUUGUUAUUUGCAAAGACUGCAUGAUUCAGAACAGUGUCAUAUUAGUCCUUUUACGAUGUGGGUUUAUCUACAGAUAUGAGUAUGUACAUUUUUUAGGAAGUUUGUCUACAGAUAAAAAUAGAAUAAUAUCAUCUUUCCAUGCAUCGUCAUUUCUAGUUACACAAGGAGUCCAGCCCAGCAAGUACAAUUUUCACUACCCAAAUGUGAGUUCCCAAAGAACAUUCCCAGUUGUGAAACUAGAAAUAAGCAAUUUGACUAAUUUGAGCUCAGGAUAAUACAUGUUCAUUCAGCGUUUUCUGGCCUAGUUCUAUGAAAAUAGGACCAGAGCACUUUCUGGAUUUUUGCAGAGAUCCAAAGUCAACUUGUCUUUGGCAGUGCGGCCUUGGCUUUCUCCAGUGCCUCACUGCUCCAGCCUGAUGGCUACCCACCUGCCACCUGCCUGCAGACACAUCCCCAGGCUGGUGUCUGGGCCAACUACCGCGGAGGGAUGAGGUAUGUGAAGCAGGCUCAGUGCCAUCACAGAGUAGUGAAAUUCGAUUCCUGAACCAGGUGAAAAAGCAAACAGACCCCUCUAUAAUAGCUCCCACAGAGGACCCUCGACCCUGAGCCACAUACGCUCCCUACCCUGGGAUCUAGAAUCCUUCAGCCAGCCCAGCGCACGCAUGGAGCACCCAGAUCUGAAAGAUGCAGUCAAGCUCUUGUCUCAGCUCUCCCUCCUCAGUCCUAACUAUUCCCCUGGCCAGGGCUCUCUUCCUCUAGGAGGGGCCUAGUGACCCAUUUGAACCAGGUCUAACUCCCCUUUGAGGAACUAGCAGGGCUUUUGCCACAUAUCCUCAACAGGAAGCCACUCAAUACCUUCACCUGACCCCUCCUUGAGUCUCCUCCCAUCACAUCUUCUUCAGACAGUCCUCCUGUUGCCAAGAGCUGCCUCCCAGCUCCCCACCCCCAGCAGAAAAGCGUUGUGCCAAAUCCUGGUUCCCUCGUGCCCCUGACUGUCUCUUCUUUUUGCGCUGAUCUAACUGCUUUGUACCUAGGUCAUGAACUUUGACAAACUUCACCUGCUGACUCUUCAGAAACAGCGCUUUCAUUAUUCUGGAUGGACUGAUAUAUCUUUGGUCUACAGUAGCAUAAAGAAACCAAUCUGUGAUCUGAGCUGUAGUCAGUAUGCUCAGAAUCAAGUGUGGCCUAUAACCAGUGAUAACGAAAUUAGGUACAAACUACAGUCUCUUCAGUAAGUUUUAAGUAUCUCAAAUUUUAUUUAUUUUUGUUUUUAAUUAUUUUUAUAUUCUGAAUCUGUCAGUCACUAUACAACCAAAUAGUGUUAGUGAUUCAGAGUGAAGGUCUGGGAUUCUAGCUUUGCUGCUUACUCCCUGUGUGACCUUGAGCAAAUUACUUUACUCCAUGUAGCAUCAGUGUCCUCAGCAUAGAGGAAGGAUGACAACACCGGAGGGGGCUGUUGUAUUAACUGAGACAAGGUAUGGAAGCCCCUGGCCAGAGUCUGACAUGGAGCGCUCCAUCUAUGGGAGCAGUUAUUAUUCAAUCCUACCUUCGUCUGUAGAUGGGUAAUUACCAGGAACAGACACAGAUUAUUACAGCACUAUAAUAUUCCUUUUAAAAUCAACAGGGAACUCAAGGUGUCUCACUGGGUAGAUACAGGCUAUCUGGUAAAAUCCAAUUCACUGAACUUUUCCUUAAAGAAAGUGGUUAUCUUUUAUCAUUAAAAGAUUUAAUGGAAAAUCUAACCCAUUUUCUAUUGAAACACAGAUCUUGCUAAUGCUAAAGCUACCAUUUUUUACGUUUAAAAAAUUAGCAAGGAUUUUAUAUAUAAAGCUAAUGCAUGCAAAAGGACAGAUUCCUUUGUGGCCACUCACAUCAUGUAGAGGUGGGGGUAGGAGGGGCGCCUCUGAAGCGCACCCGGGCCUGCCUCCUACCUCUCUACUGCACUAGCCAAAGGGAAAUAAAAAUAGCGGCAAAUAUGUAUUGACCUUGGAAAUCCAAGCACACCUCUGGAUGUGCUGUCCAUAUCUAGAGAACCUAAAAUAUCUCACAUACAAUAGCAGGAAGAAAGCAUAGCAUAUUUAGGAACAAACUUAAAACAGUUUCAAAGGAUCUCUGGAAAGAAAAACUAUAAAACUUUGUUGAGAGACAUAAGAAAAUCUGAAUAAAUGGGGAAAAGUAGCACAUUCCUAGAUAUGAACCCUCAAAGUAAAAAUGUCAAUGUUACCCAAGCUUGCCUACAAAUUUAACAUAAUUCCAAGAGAAAAAUCCAAACAGUAUUUGUUGAUGAUGGAAAAUUAAUCUAAACAUCAUCUAGAAGAAUAAAUGUGUGAGAGACUGCCAAAAGUUUUGAAAAAGAAGAAUAAUGAAGAGGAAUGUGCUGUACCAGAUAAUAAAUUGUAUUACAAAGCUUCAAUAAUUAAAAACAAUAUAUACUAAUAUAAGAAUAGACAGACAAAUCAAGUGAACAGAAGCAAAAAUUCCCAGAAACAGAGCUAAGAAUAGAUAAGAAUCCAGCAUAUAGUGGAGAUAACACUGCAAAUCCUUGAGGGAAGAAUGGCUUAUUCAGAAAAUGGCAGGGGAGUAGGGAGGUUAACAUCAAAAUAAACUCCAAAUAUAUUAAAUAUUUAAAUAUAAAAUAUAUUCAGAUAUAGUUCUGUUGUUAGUCUUCCUUAACUCCUGUCAGCUACGAAUGAUGGAAAACUAAAUAUGCCAGUGCAGGAAGUCAUUCCUGAAGGGGACUCGGGGCUGUCUGAGGCACCACCUCCUAUCAGAGCUUUGGCACUGAGAGAAGGUACCUGGGCUAACCAGCGCACUCUCAGACAAUCCUGAAGGCUUCUCUUUUUAUUUCUGCCUCCAGUCUCAAGGUUUCUUGAGUCUAUCCAUGUCUCUUUCCCAGGCUGGCAGAUGUGUAAACUGGGGAAAAGAUGCAGCAAAAAAGAGUAAGGCUAUAGGCAGACUGUGCCAUCUGAAGAUAGUGCUCCUGAAUUUACUCUGUUACCCCGAUGUGCUCCCUGGCUUGGGGGUAGUCAAGACCAGGAAUAGUGUUAAAUCAGGUGUGAGUGCACCUGCGCGUGCAUGCCUAUGUGUCUGUGUUGUGGGGGACACAUUGUUAUCAGAGUUUACUCCUCUUUACUGAAGGGGUAACUGAACUCUCUCCUGGAGACUUUCACAGUAAAGUACACGACAUAUAAAAGAAUUACAAGGUCAGAGCACACAGCCUGGAGCCAAUGAAGAGGGCAGAUAAGUAAGUUCACAGCAGAAAUUUUGAACGUACACGUGGCUCUUGUAUUCAUUUACUCCAGCAGCAUUUCUCAAAGGAUUACUAUGCACUGCUACCUUCCUAGGUGCUGGGGACAUAAUGUUGAGCAAGACUAAGUCCCUGCCUUGGAGGUACUCAAAAUUUAGCUGGAGUGAUCAAACAUGUAAACAAAUUAUUGCAGAAUUAUUUAUCUGAGCUACUUUCAGACCAUGACAAAUAUCAGCUCCCACAGAAAGUUCUAGAAUGCGCUCCCCUUUGCCCUGUACCAAACAUAUUCUUUCUUUUCCCUAAUCUACAUCUUGUUUGACUUAACUUCUCCGUGAAGAUUUUCAAGCUUUCAUAGCCUAUCAUAAGCCGUUUUUUCUUUCCAAAUACAUCACAUUCCUUUAUGUGCUACAGACCUCCUAUGUAUCUAACUGUUCUGUUUUCUUUCAUCAUCAAACAAUGGAAGAGACCAAGUCUUCUAUUUCAUGUUAACCAUUGGAGCCUAGAAACAACGCAUCUGCAGAUGCUGACCCAAGAGAAGACUCUGACAUCUUUGGAUUCAGCUACCAAAACGAGGGGGACUACAAGAGCAGCUGUUCAACUGACCUCAAAAGACUAAAAUCUUAAGCAUCCACGGCAAGAAGGGAGAAGAGUCCGACAACUUUAACCUCCCCUCCGGAGCUACAGCAACCAAUGCUUGGUUAAAUUAAGUAAACUUGACUCCUUACUUCCUUCUCUUCUGUUCACACGCUUUAGACUAGAGAAAGAAUUAUCAAGACUUUAAAAGACCAAAUUCUAAAAAAGAAAGGGCAGUAAGGAAACUAGAUAACUAACCCUUCAAUGAGCAGAAGUUGACUGGUCAUACAGAGGCAGUCUGAAUGAUAAGCAGCUUGCCCAGUAGCAACUUCCAAUCCAGUUUUCCAGAAUCUUUGCCUCCAUAGCCUCCUGUGCAUACCAUCUUAGCGCUUAGUGAAUUAACUGAAACUGUCUUUGCGUCUUUCUCAAUUAGACAAACUACGUUUCUCUAGAAUGGGAGCCAUCUAACUUAAUACUCUAGUGUGAACUCAUUGAUACCAAGUACUGGGCACAAGUUCUUGGGGUACUGCAGGCAGAAAACAUCCCUGAACUGCUAAAAUAAAUGAUAAAACUGACAUUCUGUGGCAUUCUUGCAGACGGGAAAGGCACAAAGCUGCAGUAAGCCUACGAGCCCCUACUUGAAGGGAUGAAAUUUUAAUAGGAAGAAAAAUACAUGCCUAAGUAAAAUAUUAGAAGGGAGAAGGAGAGUUAGAAGACUUUUCAGCAGAAACAGUCCCAGUUUACCCAGUUCACCCCAAAGGCAGAAAAAUGGGAAAGAAUCUAAAGAUGAGAAAGAGAAACCACACCUGACUACCUUUCUACCUUCAGAAGAAAGAGUUUUGAGUUUCCAGUUCGUGGUAUGUAAAUCCCUAAGUGUAAAGGAAGCUCUGACUUAGAAUAUGGUCACAUUCAUGGAGAGAUUAAAAGGGAAGAGGGAGGGAUGGGGAGAAGCACAUGUGCAGUGAGGCACACUCAACCCCCUACACACAAACACACAUACACACAUACACGUGCGCACACACGAUAUUUCACAGUGGAGUAAUGCUAAAUGUUUGCCUUGCUCCAAUAUUUUCCUUCCUAGUAAGGGUCUGGUCUGUCCUUUCACUGUUAGGCUUCCUCUUCAAAGGGGGUUUACAUGAAAUAACCACAUGUAUUUACUGAGCCAUCAUUACACAUCAUCAUCUUGUUCAUGCAGGGCACCGAGAAAGCCACUCAAUCUGGAUGGGUAGCCUGUAUUUCAAAUUGAUGGGAGCUCAGAGACCAGAAUGAGGCUUGUUCAAUGGUUCUCAGCCCUGCUGCACAUGAGAAUCACCUGGGGAGCUUUUAAAACAAUACUAGUGCAGAGUCUCAACCCAAACCAAUUAAAUCAGAAUUGCUAGGGGUGAGGUCUGGGCAUUGGAUUUUUUGUUGUUUUUUUAAAGCUCCACAAAGAAUUAUCAUUAAUUUUUUUCAGCAUGGUAAAAGCAAGUGGUUAUGUUUUUCUAAAAAAAGUCUUUACUAGAGAUAGAAGCAGAUUUGCUUUAAAAUACUCCGUGGAGAGGGGUGGUUUUGAUUAUACAAGAUUGGCAAAAUGUUGAUAAUUGUUCACGCUGCGUGAUGGACACGUGUGAGUUGAUUACAUUAUUCAGUCUACUUUUGCAUAUUUGAAAAAUUCUAUAAAAUUUUUAAAAUAAAAUCAGCAGAAA